rnacentral:rRNA from 1 species
GAUGAACGCUGGCGGCGUGCCUAAUACAUGCAAGUCGAGCGAACAGACGAGGAGCUUGCCCCUCUGACGUUAGCGGCGGACGGGUGAGUAACACGUGGAUAACCUACCUAUAAGACUGGGAUAACUUCGGGAAACCGGAGCUAAUACCGGAUAAUAUAUUGAACCGCAUGGUUCAAUAGCGAAAGACGGUUUUGCUGUCACUUAUAGAUGGAUCCGCGCCGCAUUAGCUAGUUGGUAAGGUAACGGCUUACCAAGGCAACGAUGCGUAGCCGACCUGAGAGGGUGAUCGGCCACACUGGAACUGAGACACGGUCCAGACUCCUACGGGAGGCAGCAGUAGGGAAUCUUCCGCAAUGGGCGAAAGCCUGACGGAGCAACGCCGCGUGAGUGAUGAAGGUCUUCGGAUCGUAAAACUCUGUUAUUAGGGAAGAACAAAUGUGUAAGUAACUAUGCACGUCUUGACGGUACCGAAUCAGAAAGCCACGGCUAACUACGU